UGUAAAAAUUUUCAUUCAUUUGUAUUGUUAAAAACUAGUGUGUUUGACAAAAUAAUCAAACAAUGACACAUGACGACUUAUGUAUAUCUUAUGCUGACAUAUAAGGACCAAUUUUUAAUAGAAAAAAUGGAUGAAAUUUUGAAUA
rfam:Gossypium raimondii Chr07_contig_84, whole genome shotgun sequence.